rnacentral:lncRNA from 1 species
GAAGUUCGAGUGAUGGUGGAAAGUUGUUUGCAGGCGUCGAUGUUCUUGAGAACGGCCUCAUCGAGACCAGAAAGGUGUUUGUGGCCUUCCUUGAGCAUGGAUUGAAUCCCAUAGGGUUGAAUGUUGAAACCCAUGUUCUUGCAAUUUGAGAAUACCCUAACCCUAAAACCCUGCAAAUGCUAACUUCUCUCUUCAACUAUCAAACUUUUGUGGCAACACUGUGUCACUGCCUCGCACUGUCUUACUAAACCCUAAUAAUAACGCCCAACAAACUGAGAGGUGAAAAGCAGAGAGAGUGGAAGAAUAUGGAGAAAAUCAAAGAAAAACUAUUAAAUCAAAAAACACUUACAAUAAACAAAAACUACGUGACUUUCUCCAAAAUAAAUAAUAUCACAUUUUAACUACACAAAUAAUUGGUUUAAAAAAGCUAGUGAUGAUUACUUCUAUUUUUUAUUGUUUUAUUUUAUUUUUUAAGACUAAAAUAUAACUUUGUUAUUUUUUAUUGCCAAUGCUGUAUUCCUAUUUUAAAAUAAAAAUAUUUAGUCUUAUAAUUUUUCAAAAUUAAUGAUUUUUAAACCAAUGGUUAAAAUUAAGACUUUGAAACUCAAUCUUUGUUCUAAGCCAUAUUUUUUUCAAGUGAAGGAUUUUUCAACCAUUUGAAAAUAAGACUAUAACUCAAUAUUUACUUGGAUGAGAAAAAUUUCAGUGUUAAAAAAUAUAUUUUCUUCUUUUCCGUGUCUUAACUCAUUGAAGGGGAAUAUUUAAUAUAAAUGUAAAUAAAAUAUUAAAUUAUAUAUUUAACGGAUUUUUGAUUUUGUUUAAAUCAUAUAUUAUAUGACAAUGGUUACGCUCGUAAAUAAAAUAUGAUAUAUAAACUAUUAGUUGAAUUGUCGUUUUAAGUAAAAAAAAAAUAUUGUAAUAAAGAUCCUCUUUUUAGUAAUAAUCUAAGUUAUGUAAAAUAAAAUAUCAAUGAUGAGAAUUUAAUGGGGAGUUCUUACCACCAUGAGGUGUGUAUAUGUUUAAUUUGUAUUAUAAUAAACUUAAUUUGAUUAGGUUUGUAUGUUAAUAUAAGUCUUUAAUUGAAUAAUUAAAUAUAGUGGAACAUAUUUGAUGCAAGUAAAGGUGUGAAAAAAAUCUAGUUAGAUAAACUCCUUUAUUAUUAUUUUUUUUCGGUGGUUUAAUCCAUUAAAUAUUCAUAUAUUUAAAUUCAGUUUUUAUUUUUAUUUUUAUUUUAAAUUUUUUAAAAUUGAAAUUUCAUUUUGUUUAUACAGAUUUUAAAAAUUAAAAAAAUUGAAUUUUCAAAUUUUAAACUUCUAUUGUUCUCUGUCCACGACCUCGGGGUGUUAUAAGAUGUGACACCUAAUUGGAUAGUGGAGUAAAGAAUAUUAAGUGCACUGACUGGAAGGAAACAAUACUUGAAAUAUCAAUUUGAGGGAAAUAUGCAUUUGACAUGCCAAUGGAAAAGAGAAAAAUAAACUUUUGAAUUUAGCUAUCUAUUUUUUUAGAUUUCAGAAUUUGAAAUGGAAAUGUACUUUUAGAACAUAGUUCAAAAGAAAAAAUUAAUAUUUAUUUAAUUGAAAAUAGAAAAAUUCAUUUCAAAUUAUGAAACUUAAUUGCAAGUUCUGAAAGUACAAAAAUUAAUUUUGAAUUCGAAAUAUAUUUUCAUAUACACUACACUAUAAAAUUAAUUAUAAAUUUUAUAGUUUAAAAUAUAAACUAAAAAUAUUAAUUACAUAUUAUAUAAUUUAAAAUAUAAUUUUAGAUUAUAUAAUCUAAAAAUUAAUGAUUGAAAAAAUAUAUUUAGAGCUAAUAAUUAUCUUUUACAGAUUGAAAAUAUAUUUAAAUUUAAUAAUGAAUUUUUACAGUUUGACACUGCAAUCUGUAAUACAUCAUUUAAUUUUCUAACCUUUAUACUGUAUAAUUUGUAAUUAUUUUAAUCAUUUAAUUCAAAAUAUUUUUCAUGACAUGAAAGAAUAAUUUUUAAAUUUUUUAGAGUGCAUGUAGGUGCAUGAAAAAAGUUGAAGUUAUAAUACUAUUGUGCAAAAAGGUGAUACUAACUUACAUUAAGAAAAACUGUUUUUUAUCAUCAAUUUAAUUGGUUUGGGUUGAAGUAACAUAGAAAUCAACCCCACCUUUUAUACAUUAAAUCUGGUUUAUAUAAUUGAGCAGAAGGAUAAAUUAGUGGUACCUCACUCAUACCAUCAGUCUAACAGAAGCUGGCAAACUAUGUUAUAUUUAAUUUUUAGUAUUAUUAAAUUAUAAUUUUAUUAUAUUUCCUUAAUAUUUAUAUAAUGUUGAAUAUUUUAUAUAAUAUUAUAUUAAUAUUAUGUUAAAUUUGUUAGAAAAUAUGAAUUUGAAUUUAAAAUCCAAUUUAAUUUUUUUUUAUAAAAUUAUGCAUCUACAUUUAAAAUCCAAUCCAAAUAUUUAGAUUUAGAUUUAUAAAAAUUUAAAUUAUUUUUAUAAAAAAUAUAAAUUUAGAUUUAGAAUUGAUCCAAAUAUUUGAAUCUUAUUGAAUUUGAAUAGGAUUUUCCAAAAUCAAGUUCAUGCCACUUUAGAUGAAGUUUUUUCCAAUGCACUAGUUGAUAUUUCACAUAUUCUACUUCUUGAAUAUCAGUAAAAUAUCAACUGAUGUAUUUUUUUUUUAUGUUUGAAGAAAUUGAAUUAUUUUUUUGAUUGUCAUCCUACCUUUUAUAUAUAUUAUAUAUACCACAUCCUAUUACUUCUAUACCAAUAAACUAUUUUUUUCUAUAAAAAAAACAUGGGAAACAAAAUUUUGAUUCUCCCAUGAAUACAUGUCAUAAAACAAAGAAGUGAAUUUGAGGUGGAGCGUUUAACAUAAAGUUUAGUAUGCUCUUGGCCUAAUGACAUAAGCUUUUUCCUUUUAGACUAAGUGUGUGUUUGGAAGCCUACUGUCUUUCCAAAACCGUUACAAUUUGAUUAAAAAUUGCAGAAUACACUAUUGGUAGUGUAUGCUUAAAUGUGGAUCAAACAUCAGUGCAAACUCUUGAAACUGAAUAAAGUAGCUUUGGAAAUUAAAUGUGAAUUUUUCUUGAUUUAAUUAGCAAGUAAACAUAUUGUUAACAUAGUUAAACCUCCUAAUUUCCAAGGCAAGUUGAAGAGCUCUUCUGAUUUAUUUCUUACAAAUUUUAUUGAAUAUAAUUUUCACGAAUCAUUGGUUAGUAAUUUUAGUGUCUAAUUUUUUUACUUUAAACUAAUAAAAAAAUUAGAAAGAGAUUAAAAAAUAAUAAAAAUAGUAUAAUAAUUAAAUAUUUUUAUAAAAUUAAAAAAUAAAUAAUAAUAAAAUUAAUUAAUUAAAAUAUUAAAAAAUAUAAUGCAUAAUAAAGAAUCUAAUUAAAAUUGAAACUAUUUUUUUUAAUAAAAUACUUUAAAGAUUUUAUCAAACAUUUUUAUAUAAAUUAAAAUUUAUAAAUCAAAUAAAUUAAUAGUUAAAAUAUUUAAUAGAACAUUAUUUAUCCUAUUAUCAACUUCAUCUAACCUAUAACUGAAAAAUAAAACAUUUUACAUAGUGAAAGAAAUAAAAAAAAUUGUUAUUUCUAUUAUUUCUAUACUAAAAAAUAUUUAUAAUUUAGGAAAACUAAAACAUUUUAAACUUUCAUUUCAUUAUUUAAAUUUAUAAUUUUUUUAUUCAUCAUUAUAUGUGUAAUAUGUAUUUUUUAACUUAGUUUAUAUUAUUAAAAUUUCACCAUUAACAAAAGACACAAGAGAAGAAAUAAUAUAUCAUAAAAAAUGCAUUACAUUAUUUAUCAUGUUCUAAAAGCACAAAUGUUUUCUCGUAAUCGAUGAAAUACUUGUUUUAAUUACUGUAGAAAAAUUAGGUUUAGGGUUACUCAUAUUUUUUCGUGAAGGGAAUGUGUGUGCUGAUAAGUUGGUUAAUUUGGAUUUAUUAAUAGAGAAUUUUUUCAUUGGUAUAAUAGGCUUCCAUCUUGUCUUGUUCUUAGAAUUCUUUUAUGAAUAUGUAUAAUCUACCUAUGUAUCGUUUUUGUUAACAUAUGGGUUUUGGUCUAGUCCCCUCGUAUUUUUGUAUUUUCUUUCAUUUUUUUCCUUUUAUAAUAAUACUUCUUUUUAUGUGAUGGCAAAUGAUUAUUGUUACUUGAGAUGUCAGCCUAACUGAAAUUUUAAGUUACAUAGUGAUACCUAAUAUAAAAAAUUUUAUUUAAAAAAAAUACAAUAUUUUUAAUAUUAGAUUGAUAUAGAUCUAAAGCUCAGGUAGAUCGAAUAAUUUUUAAGAUGAUUUAUUAAACAACACCUAAUGUAUUUAGGUUUAUUAAUGAAGUAAAUAUAAAAAAUAUAUUAAUUAUUAAUUCAAGUUAAAAUUAUAAAAUAAAUUUUAAUUAUAAAUGUUAACUAGUUAAUAUUAAAGAAAGUAAUUGACCUAUUCUAAAGUAAAGACUAAUGGACUCAUUAUACCCAUUAGGUAUUAGUCCCAUUAACAAUACAUUUAUUUUAAUAAUUAAAUAAUUAAUGAACAUUUAAUAACUAAAUAUCACUUUUAAGGUUCAUAGAGUUACUCCAUGUAUUUUCACUCACUAUGUCAUACUGAGAGAUUGUUAACCCCCACUUAGUAACCAGAAGAAAGGUCAAGUAGUUAAAGGUCAAAGAAGUAUUAGUCAAAUCUACUCUUCCCUACAUUUUAUAAGAACAAAUACCGAAAUAAUAAAAUUGUAAAAUGAUAAAUUAAUAUAAAUAUUAUUUUUAUAUUUAAUAUAGACUAACUUUAUGUAUUAUCGGGUGACCGUGAGGUCAAAUGGUCGACAAGACUGAAUAAACUUGGAAGCAGACAAUAAAUCUGCGAUUAACCAUAAUUAAGCCAGUUUAAUCAUAAACUAUGAUUAAGGUACAAUUGGACCUUCGUCUGAGUCCAAAAGCAGAUCCAUGAUAACUGAGACCCAACAUAAAACUAUAAAUAUUAAAGGAAAAUCAAUGCCAAAGAUAAUUUUUCAUCCUUAACUUACUUGCAUAUUGUACUUUGACUAACUUGAACAUCGGAGUGCUUUCGGAGUACCCUCUCUACUCAUCUUGGAGAAGGAACAACAAGACAACCAAUGAAUACAAGAACCGUGAGGAUGUGAAGGCGAAGAGGAUUGAAACUACUAACCCGACCAUGUAAGUACAUUUUACAAAUUAAUAUACUACGAAUCAUGAUGACAUUGACAGAUUUUUUUUUUGUCUAUUAUAUAUCAUACAAAACUCCAUUAAUAAAAUUCAAAUAAUAAUAUUUUUAUAUUAAAAUUUCAAAAUAAGAAAAUAUUAAAAGGGUUUGAUAACACUUUACUUUCUAAUAUUUUCCAAAAAAAAAUAAAAUUGAAAGCGAAAACUGUGUUUUAUGUAAUGAUGAUAUGGAUCAGUGACUUUUGGGCACUUGUGAUCUGAAACCAGAUACUUGCUUGGACUGAUUUUGAUCAAAGAUCUUGUUUUAAUUUUUAAAUUUCGUUUUUAUUUGUGUUUUUAAAUUUUUUUAUUAGCUUUUACUUUUACAUCCCAUUUGUAUUUUUGUCAUUGGCUGCACGUCUGUGUAUUUCUUUGCUUGCAUUGCAUAUGCUUUUUGAGUACUUUUAUCUGUGUAAAAUAGCAUUUUGUUGGUUACUUAAUUGCUUUGUGUCACCCCAUUUUGUUUCAGUAAUAAAUAUUACUCUUGCUUAUAUGUUUUUCCCUUUUAAAUCAAUGUUUAUUUUGUUGUACAAUUUGCAUGAUAGUUAUUCCUUUUUCUUGGCAUAAUGCAAUGAUCCUACUUCACUUGAGUUAUGCAGAUAAUCUCAUAAGAUUAAGCUAUUUUUGAAUUUAUUAUCUAAAUAGGUUUAGAUUGCAUAGUGUAUAGUGCAAUUGGUUGGUCAUUUGUUUUGUUUUAUCACUCCUUUUUUUAUUAAUAAAUAUUAUUCUACAUAUUCUUCGUCUUACAUGAUGUUUUAUUUUGCUUUGCUGUUUUGCAAAUUAUCAUUGUUGCAUGCCAACGAUAUAUGAUGAUUUAGUUAAUUUGUAAACUCUUGUAUAUUUUAUUUAAAUAACUAUGUGAAUUUUUUAGUAAUACUAAAUUCUUCUUUCGAGACAAAUGGAACUAAGAAUGAGGGUUUUCGCCGUUAGAUGUUGAAGGUCGAAAGGAAAAAUGUUUGGAUACUUCUAAUAGUAUUUUAUUAAUAAAAACUUAAAUAAUAAUAUUUUAUAUUGAAAGUUCCAAUCUAAGAAAAUAAAAUAAAAAUAUUAAUUUGGCAAUCAAAUACAACUAAAAAAAAUAUUUUCUAAAUUUACCUUUUUCUAUUCAAACUUAUACCAAAAAUUAAUAACAUUCAAUAUUUUCUCCCAUAUUAUAAUUAAGGAUGACAAAACUGACCAUACCACAUCAUUUAGGUGUGAUAAAUUAAUUUUUUGAAUCUGUCAAUUUGUAUUGGUUCGGUCUAUCUAACCUGUCAACUCGUCAGGUCACAAGUGGGCAAGUUAACCCGCUAUUCUUUUAUCUUUGACACUUUUAAAGAUAAAUCUCAUACUUUUGAAAUUAAAAUUGGUGGUGGUCAAUGUUUUAUAUAGAAUUUUAUUUACAUCAAUUUCUUUAUACAUUAUUUUAUUCAUUGAAGUAUUGUUUAUAUUCACUUUGUUUUGUUAGAAUUAAACUUUCUUUGAUUAGAAUAUUAAAAUUUGAUUCAAUUUUACUGUUAUUCUUUACAUUUUUAUUGUGCAAGAAGGGAUAUCAAUGAAUAGAUCUAAAAUAAAAUAGUUAUAAAAAAAGAAAAAAAUUAAAAAAGUGAUGCACCAGCGCGCCAACCCACUAUCUGACUGAGUUUAUUAAUUUUAGCUCAUAUAUCUAUUACAGGCCAAUACGGAACUAAACAGGUGGGACCGAUCCGUUUUGCGACCCCUAAUUCUAACCAGGUGCUUUUUUAUACUUUGGAUUUCUUUCUCUCUUCCCUUGAAACCAAAAUAUUUUCUUAUUUUUUUGUUCACAUUCGAUGUCUCCAUGGAGAGUACACAUUACAUGUCUCUCUUUGUAAAUAUGUUUUCUCUUCAUUAAACUUAUCAAAAAAUUUAUCAAGAAUCACAAGUUACAAUUCUACAAUUUUUACUGAAAGCAAAGUGUAUAUUGAUGAAGUUGAAUAAGUAAUUGAAAAAAAAAAUUAUAUUAAUAUUUUUUUUUUGUCUCAAACUUUAACUUCUACUAUGCUUAAAAAAAGGAUUUUUACAUUAGUUUGGUUUCUAAUUCGAGUAUUAGUUUUCUAAUCACAACAAUUCGAUUUCUGUCAUUUUAGAUGGGAAAUGGAUGGUACAGAGCAGCUUCGAGAUUUCAUGAAACUGUGUCUAAGUCUAAAUAUUCCUUACGACAUUACCAAUGAUUUCACAAAAGAGGUAAAAAAACAUGGAUUAACCCUAUAGAUACCCUAAAAAGAUUUGUAGAAGCCAAUUUAUUCUAUGUUAAUUUUGUGAUUUUCUUUAUGCAUGUCACAUCAAUUAUUUUGUUUGAAUAAGUAGAAGAAAUUUUUGGAAAACAACGAGAAAUAGAAAAAUGAAGUAUUUAUGAAACAAUGGGUGCGAUUGUUGAAUGCUUUCAUGGAAGAGUGUAAAUCGGCAUAAAUUAGGAACCAUUUAAAAUUAAUAAAAAAGUUGUCACGUGAAAAAAAAAAAAAAAAAAUAAAAAAAUAAAAUAAUAUAUAUAUAUAUAUAUAUAUAUAUAUAUAUCCCAAAAAUGUGGACAUGUCCAAACGAUGUCGGUAUCAUUGGAACUUCAAACAUAUGAUCGAAGAUUGUCAAGCUUUGAAGAACAAAAUACAAGAGCUUAUUCAGAUCGAUUAUUUGUGCAAGUUUGUCCAAACAAACAAAAGUUUGUCGAUCCCCACAAAGGGAAAGAUACCCUUUUAGAGAGCAAAAAGAGCAAUACAUUCGAUGUGGCCGAGAAGGAUCACGUUGCUUUGAAGACAACCGACGCCCUACAAAACAAUAGAGAAGGAGCGAAAGUCCUAUAGGACGGGGUCGACCUCAAAGUGAAAGUCCUUGGUGGAACGAUCGCUCGAGAUGUGGCGUGCACGAGGUUAUAUACACCAUCGUUGACGGGAUUCCAUUGGGAGAUAACAGUCGAAGGGAGGGACGAUCACGUCUAAGUCUUUCUCGGGAAAGCAGAAUUCCCAAACAUUGUGCGGGACAAAUAAAUACGAUCACUAGAGGAUUUGAAGGGGAGGAUGUUCUAGUUCUGCUCGUAAAAAGCACCUUCGGACUAUCCAAUCGGUCCACUCAGUAACUACUAGGGACCGACCGAGAAUCCCCCUAAUUCUUUUCACAGAUGACGAUUUUACUACUAUUGAUCCGGCCCAGGACGAUCCCAUGGUCAUCACUGUAGAGAUCGAUAAAUUCGCCAUCACUAAGGUCUUAGUGAAUCAAGGUAGCUUGAUCAAUAUUUUAUACUAGAAGAAUUUAAAAAAAUGUGAGGAUUCUAGAAUCAGAAAUCCAACCCUAUGACAACCAAAUUGUAGGUUUUCUAGAGAGCGAGUGGGCACACGGGGUUACAUCGAAUUGUAUACCACAUUUGGAAAGGUAGAUAUCUUUGCAAAACUAUAAAGAUUAGGUACGUUCUAGUAAAAACAAAUACUUCUUGUAAUAUAUUGCUUGAUUGGUCAUCCAUUAAUCGCCUGAAAGCAAUAGUGUCCACUCCACACUUUGCAAUGAAGUUUCCCUCGGUAAUAGGUGACAUAGUUACCGUUCAUGUCGAUAAAAAAAUAACUCGCGAAUGCUAUGUCGCAAGCUUGAAAGUUUAAUCAACUAAUCGACUUUACAUGACAUCUCCACACGAACGGUCACCAGAAGAAGAGAACGCUCGCUAGGAUCUAAAGGGCCAAUCAGAGAUCGGUCUCGAGAGAGAAAAUCCCCAAAAAAUGAGCACAUGGUUGCCUUGGUCGACCUUAACCCUCGACUGCGGAAGCCCGCAUUGAACCAGGCAAGGACCUUCGUUACCCCUAUUGUUGAGUUGUGCCUUCAUUGUCAUAUUAUUUCCUUGGAUUUUUUAGAGGAUUGGCAGAAGCUUGAUGGAGGGAAUGGAACAAGGAUGACCCCAAUGGAGCUAUGGAUUCUUUGAGGUGCAUGAAGAGUAGGGAGAGUGACUGGUUGGGCCAUAUCACUUGGAGAGGUGAAGAAGAAGACCAAAGGUGUCUAUCCUAGAGAGGUUUAGACAAGAGAGUGAGUAAGUUAGCAACUUGGUAGCAUAACUCUCUCAAAUUGAUCUUAUUAAAAUGUGAGCUAAACACCUCAUUAUAUAGUGAGAGGCUCGACCAUUUGCUUACAAGAAAGGGUGGGAAAAUUCAAACUAAUUAAGUUUGAAUUAGGCAUCUAAAAUGAGAUCACAUGGUAAGCAUGUUCAAGUGUGCUUUGUGUGACCUAUUUAGGUCUAAAUGACCGACCUAGGUUAAUUAAGAGUCUUCAUGAAACCCUAAUUUAACAUAGGUUGGGUUUUAGAUGCCUAAUUUUAACUUUAAUUAAAAAUAAGAAAAAUUAAACUAAAUUUCAUAUUCUACUUUAGCAAGAAAAUAAAUUCUACUCUAGAGAAAUUACAUUAAGUUUUGGCAUUCUUGAACAUAUAUAAAAGGGUGUCUCUGCCAUCAAUAACAGAGUCUCAAUCUUCUUGAAUCUUCUUUGCCAUUGACCUAGUGGUUGGUCUUGAGCUGGUCCUUUUGCCAUCAUCCCCUCCCUCUUAAAGAGGAUUUGUCCUCAAAUCACAUGUCUAUGCCUUUUUCAUUUGGAGUACCUGUUAGAUCCAUAACAUUAAAGGUAGCACGUACUUCAUAUUCCUCAAGCAGGUCUAUUUGAUAUGCAUUAUUAUUGAUUUUCUUGCGACUUGGAAAGAACCAUCUCCCCAGAGACUAAGCUUAGACUUCUUUUGGUUAGGGAAUCUAUUUUUUCUAAGGUGAAGCCAAACCCAAUGUUGUAAGUUGAUUUUUGGAUGGUUCCAUUUUAUGGUGACACUUUACUUAAAGUUGAAAUUUUAGCAAUUUAUUGGUGAAACCUAAGGAAGAUUCUCACUAGACACGAACUUAACCAAAUGGUUAAGUAAGUGUGAAGGUUCACUUCACAAAGGCAAAGAUGAAAAAUCAAUAUAAAGUGAUAGAUGGAAUGCAAUGUGGAAUGAAAAUGACAAUAAGGUAAGCAUCAAUGGUGGUCAUGGCCAAACCAAAUGAUGAACCAUAAGCAUAUAACAAAAGCAAAACCAAGAGCAAGAAUUCAAGAUAAAGACAUGUAUAAAAGGUGGGAAUGGAAAUGAAUUAAAAAGAGUGGGAGAAGAGAAGCUUAUGGAGCGAUGGUGAAAAUGGUUCACGCCACUUGGGGUGUAGUAGCCACCAAGAUGAGUGAAGGGCCGUCACUUGAGAGUCUCACACAACUUAAGAUAAGAUCUAGCCAAGAGGAUUCAAACCUCACAAACACCUCACACAAUUUGUGCAGAGUAACUUUUAUAUUCAAAAUUAAUAUGUAAUACAUGGAGUAAGGCACCCUAUUUAUAGGAAUGAGUGCCUUGGUAGCCAAGAAAGGCAAGGGUAGGAUGGGAAAUAAGGGAGGGGCGGCCAAGGAGGGUUGACUAAGGUCAAAACUGCACCUUUAGGCUUUCCUUCUAGAAAUUAUGUCAAAAACCCUAAUUCUAGGUGCCUUGUCUUGAAAAGGUGGGCUUGGAUCAAGCCCAUUUUGCUAUGAGCACUCCUAUUUAUGCUAAAGGCACCUAUUCUAUCCUAUCUUGCUAUUUGGACUCCUCAAGUGAGCCCAAUUUAUUUACAACUUAUUUUAUUCUUAAGAAGACCGACAAGAAGAAUAUAAGAUGCUCUGGUUUGUGUCCAUUUCUCUCUUUGGUGAGGUUUGCUAGAUCCUUGGUGAGGUCUUUACUUGAUUGUUGAGAUGACUUCUCAUAGUGUGCAUCCUAGGUGAUCUCCUUGUUGGCUUGGUUUGUAUCAUGCCCCCCAGGUUUGAGAGAAUUCAACCUUGAAUUUAGAACUCUUGCAGAUAACAUAGUUAGUUUGUUCACAUAUAAGAUAGUGCAAGGUGUGGGAUGUGAAACAAACUUAUGUUCUUUGAGCUUGGGAAGUUCAAAAAGGUAAGCCAUUCUUACAAGCCAUGUUGGGAAAGAAUAUUUGAGGAUGAAAGGGCUUGGUGAUAAAAAUACUCUCAAAAGGUGAGAACCCUUAGGAGGUGUUUGAUGUUCAUCCCAAAGUUUCUUUGUCCAAGAUGUCAAGUAAUUUUUAUUUGGUAAUGAAAAAGACAAGGAAGAAGUACACCUUGGAGGUGCAAUUUGUAGCAUGACACGAGUCAACAUGAUUGAUUUAGUUGUGGAAGAUGAUAUUUUGUGACUUGGUUUAUCUUUUCUUUCUUUCUCCUUUUCUUUUUCUCUUUUAUUUUUCAUUUUUAUUUGGUCCUCAUGGACCUCUCUUGGAGAAAGAGAUUUUAAGGUGAUCUUGUGCCCAUGGAAGGUAAAAGAAAUGUGGUUAGUAAGGCCAUCAUGUAAAGUCUUUUUAUCAAAUUGCCAUGGCCUUCCUAGAAGAAUAUGUGUGGCGUACAACAUCACACAAGACCUCAUCCUUAUAUUUUCAAAUUGAGAAAGCUAUGAAGACUUGUUUAUUGACCAAAAUUCCCCCCUCUUUACUAAGCCAUUGGAGCUUGUAGGGCUUUGCAUGAGAUGGUGGUUAACCCAAGCUUUUCCACCACUCUUGUGCUUGCCACAAUUGUACAACUACCCCCAUCCACAAUUAAGGAACACAACUUGUUAUUAAUGAGGCACCUAGUGUGAAAAAUGUUUUCUCUUUGACUUUCAUCAAGAGGUUUUUGGACUUGGCCAAGCAUGUGCCUCACUACUAACAAAUCUCCCUCACAUGGAAUUUCAUACUCUUCCUCACUUUGGCUUUUUGGAGAGGUAGGGGACUUAGACCUUUGAGAGCUAUGGUCACUCAUGACAACUCCCUCUUUAACCAUCAUAUUUCUUUUAGAAGGAUGCAAUGUGCCCAAAACCUAAACCUUUAAAACACUUUUGACUUGAGGUUUUGGUGAGUGACUUAGGUGUAGAAGUGGAGGAUUUAGAAUUUCUAGGAUUGUAAGUGGAAUCUUUCACAAAAUUUGAAGGAAAAGUUUUUGAAGAAACUUUGUUUUUGUUUUUCCAAGAUGAUUGGCAGUAGCCAUCAUUAUAAGAGUUUUUGAAAUGAGUUUUCUUUGAAAGUUGAGAUUCAACCUUGAUGGCAAGGUGAACUAAGAAACUUUGAAUUAUGAAGAAAAAAAACAAAAGAUAAAUAUUCCUGUUGCAAAAUGAUAAAAGAUGAAAUAAUAUUUUUACUAAAGAAACACGGGGAAAACUCACUCUUACAAAAGCAUAAAUAAUUGCAAAAUCUUUUGUAAUUUUGAGUUUCGCAACAUAUAGAAUUUUGAAUCUCGAUGUGUAUAAAUAAAAAAGACCAUGCGAGGUGCCUUCUUAAAAAACUCGUGUAUCCUCUUUUAACUUUUGAGUAUUCUUUAUGAAAAAAAUUAAAUUGUUUCUUGAAAAUUUCUAUAUAUCGCAUUCUUGUAAGUGUUCAUUCGAUCAUUCUUUUAUUCACUAUCUUCAAUUUUACUUUCCUUAAAAUUAUGAAUAAAAUUUACAUUUUUACUUUCGCUUGCACUACUUUUAUACAAAUUGGUUUAAGAGCUAGUUUUAAAGUUUUUGUGUGAAAAAUAUAGAAAAUUGUUUUUUUUUCUUGUUUUCGAUUCUUGUACUCUUGCUUUAAAUGAUUUUUCAUACUUUACUUAUUUAUAGUUGUCAAAAUAAUUUAGACAAAUUAAUAUCUCAAACUAGUUUACAUGUUAGUAAGCAAGAUAGGUGGUCUUGGUCGUAAGACUUAAGAGAGACACUAAAACAAUUGAUCAACCUUUAUAGUUCUAUUUAGAAGUGAAAUAAAAGAAAUGAAAGAUGAAAACAAUUUGAUUUCUUGCACUAUAUAAAACUUUAUAAGAAACAAUUUGAUUUCUCACAACAAAGAAUACUUAAAAUAAUGAUAAUGAGUUUUUUUCUAUCCACUUAAAAUGAAAUGAGUUUUUUUUUCAAGGAAUAGAGGGUACUAGGUCUCUUCUCCCCUCCCCUCACAUGGUUUUUGCUAUUUAUAUACAAACCAAAAUUCAAAAUUCUAUAUGUUACUUUUUUUUUAGGACGCUUUCCUAAUAUAAGUAAUAAGUCUUUUCCAUUGAUUAUUGCCAUUAAUUCUAUAAAUUAUCUAGCAUUAAUUCAUUGGAGGCAUAAUCCAUAACAAUAAUCUAAUCCAUUGAAUCGAGGAGAAGUGUAGCCUCAAUUUUCCUAUUAAAAUUUGUAUCUAAAACUCUAGAAAUUCUUUGAAAUUAUAAAGCACGAUAAUUCCUCUUGUAAGUUUCUUUCUUCAGAUUUUAUACUUUAACUUUUCUUUCGUUUUUGAUCUCUUGAAAGAUAAAGAAAAGGUAGAAUAUGUAAAAGUGAUGAAGAAAUGAACAAUCAUAUAAUCCAUCAUGAACUAAGAAUUUCCAAAAUAGAAUCCCAAUUAUGUAAAUAAAAGCUGCCAAAAUUAGAAAUAUCUUCAAUGUAUAAAACAAAAAUUACCAAUAUGUUCAGAGGAUAGUAUAUGAUUGAAAUGGAAGAAAAAAAAAAUAGUAACGGUAGAACAAAAAAUAGAUAUAAGAAGUUGUCCAAAGUCUUAAUCCAAUAUGAACAAUUCUAGUUCAAGAAACAUAAUUAAGUCACAUUGUUCUUUAGUUACAAAUAGAAUGGGUGAUUCUUUUGUUGUGUCGAGAAGUGUGCCUAACAAUAUCUAACAGCAUAUAAAUCUUCUUUUUAUUUUUUAUUUCAUUUGGGAAUUUCUCAACAAAUUCAAUACUUCUUAAUAUUGAAGAUAUUUUGAAUUGGAUUACUUGCAUCUUUCUGGCCAUACUACAAAUUUGUUUUGUUUAAUUAAAUUUUUAGAAGUUUUAUGAUACUCUAUAGAUUAUGGAAAUAUUAGAUCAUAAUCUAAAAUACUAUUACAAAGUAGGAAAUUAAAAUAUUAUUCAGAAUAUUUUAAAAUUAUACGGAGUAUUUGGUAAUAUCAAACUUCAUAUUAGAAAAAAAUACUAUUAUAUAAUUUAUUUAUUAAAUCUUGUUUAUUUCGUAAAAGAUACCUUAUCUCGAGAACAUCCUCUAAGGAUUUUAUAAUGAAUUACAAUUUUUUAUUAUCCUCUUUAUUUUAUUUGUGUUAUUAACAUUAAAGACUAAUAAUAACAGUAUUAUUAUUGUUACAUAAUUAAUUUCACUUAAAACUUUAUUAUAUUGCACAAUAUUAAUAAAAAGUGUAUCAUGGUUCUAGCUAGGGCUUGAUUUCCUAGUACCUAUUUUCUUUUAUAAUUAUCUAAAAAGCAGACUUUACAUGUGAUUUUUUUCCUCAAUAGCCUGAUUUGAGUAUUAUUUCUCACUAUAGCACCACUGUAGCAGCAUUUGCACACUUUAUUUUCUAUAAUAGUAUUAAUUUGUGCCAUGGCUAGAAUUCAGAUAUUAGGAUUUCUUAUUUGCAAAAAAAUAAAUACUUUUAGAAUUUGGUUUCCAAAGAGUCGAAUUUUCAUAGUAUUUUUUUCCAAUGGUAAUGAACAAAAUCAGAAUAAGGUCGUUUAAAAGGUGAUAAAAAUCCAGUUUCUAAAAAUUAUAAUUUUGACUUUUAAUUAUUCAAUAACUAAAUGUUAUAAGGAUUAGUUACUGAUGGGUCAAAUUCUAUGACAAUUUUCAACUUUUAUUUUUAAAACCCAUACAAUAACAAACGUACAAAAUAAUAACAACAUCAAUAAAGGGUUAAUAAUGGUUUUAAAAACAAAACCAACUAUGAACAUACACUAACUUAUUCCUCGUUCAAUUGAAUGUUUUUCAAUGCUGUCCCACAUGUUGGAAGUAAUUUAUUCCAUAAAUCAUAAAUUCAAAUGUCAAAACUGGUAUGAAGUUCAUAUAAUUUCUAAAACCAAUAAAACCAAUGACACAUUGUACAUCAUCAUCGUCUUCAAUAUGGAUAUAACUAUAUGAAUUCCUAAUUUUAUUCGUCGUCUUCAAUAUGGAUAUAAUGAUAUGAAUUCCUAAUUUUAUUCAUAUACACUAGACACUGAUAACAAAAAUCAACAUUAUAUAACUUAAAAUCAUCUAGAACAAACACACAUAGAAUGGAGUUUAUUAGAAUUGAUAGGGGUAUGAAUUGAUCAACCUCAAUGAUGAUUUGGUCAUUACUCACCAAAACCAUGAUACUUGACCAGAUCAGUAUACAAUUGGUUGGAUGUUUUGUGUAGCUAGUUAUGACCUACAUUUAUAGUUGAUAAGAAAUGGCAUCAAUUAUCAAAGCAAAAAAUUUCUAACAUAUUUAAUUUACACUAUUCAACUUAAGAUUCUUUAUAAUUGUAUGAAAAUGUUUAAAACGGGUAGGUGUUGGAAUAAUGAUUUUGCAUUUGAUUUCUUUAUAAAAAAUAAGAAAUCAAAAUCAAAAUCAGUAUGGUUGAGGGAAAAAAAAGUCUACAUAUGUCAUGGCAUUAUGUAUUAUAUUAAACAUAUAAAUUCAUAUUAGUAAUUACGAUAAAUACUGGACCAAAAAUAUAUUAAACCUAUAAAAUUCAUAUUAGGCCUCAAGGGUAUAAAAUUUCAUAUUAAGUCUCAAGGUGUUUCUACCAACGUUAAAAUAUUGAUAUAUUAGAUUAAAUAAAAUUUCAAAAUAGACGGUUUAUUAUAUAUUUUUACGUUAAAAAUAACCGGGUUAAUAAAAAAUAACGAGACAAAUACGAAAAAUAUUUUUUAUAAUUAUUAAAAUGCAAUAAAAAUUAACGAAAUAAGAAAAAAAUUGGCAAACAAAUAUUAAUGAACAAAAAGAUACAAAAAAGAGCAUGUGGAAUCUUAGAUGAGAAAAGAAGAGAAUAAAAUAAAUUUGUUCAUUUCUUUCAAAAGAUCCAUGGGGUCAAACCCUUUAUCUCUAAGCCUCCAUGCGAACCGAAAGACCUAACAUUUCCAAGUUCCAUCGGCUUUCUGGUGGAGGCUUUUCAUUCAGACUCACUUUUUAUCUACCUAUGAAUUAUUAUUAUCACAUAAACUAGUAGAACAUUAAUAAUAAAUAUAAAUUAAAAAUAUAACAAUUGAAAAAAAAUGUGAAAGGCUGGUUGCGGAAUAAUUGAUAAGAAACGCAAAGAGUCCCUUCAAAUGGCCUUUCUCUGAACGGAUCCAAACGCGAAUUUGGAUCCGAUUAUUGUGCGCUUCCUAACUAAGCCGCGUAUGAAAUUGGUGUUUUCAUAAGGCUACUCAAAGAAGCACGUUCAGGAAGUGAUUUUGCCAACAGAGAAAACAAAUUUUGGUUUAGAAAUUAGGGUUUCUUCUCUGUCAUUUAAAAUUGAAGGUAUUCAAACAUUGACAAAGAAGAAAUCCUAAUUCAUACACAAAACUUAAAACACAGGUAACGCACCUUUAGAUCACUCUCCUCAUAUCACUCUGCCACAGCUGUCGCAUACUCUGCGCAGUCGUCGAAGAGGAACGUGUUAGGGAUUGAAACAAUAGGUGAAAUCAUGUGCAGAGAAUAGGUGAAGAACAAUACUCAUAAUAAAGAAAUGGAAAAUAAAUGCACUUUUUUUGUUUGAGAUUUAGGGUUUCUUCUUAUGUGAUUUUAAAAUGAAGGUUUUCGGAUUCUAUUCACCUCAUUACCCUCCGUUUCAUUUUUUUAUUUAUUUAGGGGGUUGUUCUUAUUUGGAUCCAAUGGAUAAUCUAAUAAUUGCUUUUUGCACCACUCUGAUUUCCUACUCCACCUCAUCGGAUAUAUAUAAAAACAAAUUUAGAAAAUCUAAUUCUAUUUCUUCCUCUUAGUUCACAUUUUAUCGGUUGUUCUCUCUUGUUCACUACACUCUUUGUCAUUAUAAUAAAUAAAUAUUAAUCAUCAUUAUAUAAUUAAAAAACUUCUUUAUGAAAAAAUUCAUUUUAACAUUAGGAUUCAAAUUCUUUCUAAACUUAUAUAUUUAAAAUGUUAGAAGUAAAUAUUUGAUUCUAAAUAUUUAAUAAGAUUCAAGUUUAUUUUGAUAGACUCUUUAAUGCGUUAAAGACAAUAAGACGGUCUAAUAUGUUAAACACCAACACAAUAAUAACAUUCUUUCUUACUUUUACACAUGAAAAUACUUCGUUUAGUAAACAUUUUAUAUUUUAUAAUGUUUGUUAUCAUUAAAAUCUCAUAAAUUAUUUAUAUACAUAAGAUCGUUUAGUGAGGUUUUAGAUUGUUUAAAAGUAAUCAAACCAUCUAAUGUCUUAACAAUCUCUCCAUUUUUUAUGGUGACAAAAACUAUAAGCUAUAUAAAAAAACUAAUGUGUUUGCCAACUGUUAGGAUCGACUCCCUUUGGAGCCAUUGGACCCUGUUCUUAUUUGGGACAAGUUGACCAUUUAAAUUAUGCAGACCUGGAUAGUAGGCUUAAGUGCUAGGGUCGGGUCUGAGCACGUCUGACACAAGUUGUUAUAAAGAAAUCAUCAUGGUUGUUAUAGAGGUUGAGGGGGUUGUUGAGGAGGUGGUGGAAGGGUUAGGGGGCUCUUAGCUAAUUUAGUAUUUCAACAAAAGAGUUUUGGAUUUGGGUGACAGAGGAUUGAGCACCUUGUUCUAGCCUUUGAUUCUAUCUUUCCUUCAUAUCUCUUAAUCGUUGUUGGACGACUUCUCUUUCACUUUGAAAAGCUUAUUGGAUUAUCAAUUACAUUAUGUUGAAUAUUGCGUAUGGAAUUGCUUGAGCAACACAAGAAGAUGAAAUUGGUUUUGGAGAAAACACUAUAUCCAAGAGUUGAGAGACUUAUGCAUGUUCUUUAGACUCUUGCCGAGAGGCUUUGUGGUUCUUAUUAUUUGUAAAGCCUUCUGAAGGAAUUCUCCUAAGCAACUUCAAGAGACUAAGAGAUAACUACUUUAGGGACUUGAUCAAUGAUGACUAUUUUACGGAAAACGUACCGAGUCAGAAAUAAUAUUUUGUCCCUAUAGAGGAUAUCGAACCCACAAGGAACAAUUCUAAAAUCUCAUGUAUAGUAUUCACUAAAUAUAAGAAAAUGUGUAAAAGUUUGUUGAUAGGUUGUCUAUUUGUGAAUUUGCAAGAAAUUAAAUAAGGCAAAGUAAAAGAUUUGUAUGAGUCAAUUGGAAAAAUUGAGAUUGAGGUUCAUCCUUCUCACUCGUCUGUAUUUUUUAAAAGCAUGUAAUAUUAAAUCUUGAUUGAUAUUGAUGCACAUAUAAAAAUCCUUCAUAUCGAUUCCACGCAUACAAAAUUAUUAAGAGAGUCUCUUAAAUAUUGAUUUUUUGCAUAUUUAUAAAAAUUCCUUAUCAUUACGAACAUAUGUUAUAAAACAAUUAACAUUUCAAAUAUAUUCCUAGCAUUCAAAUAUUUUAAGCAUUAUCAUUUAGGUCAGAUGUUUAGAAAUACUUUCCAAUCAAAUCUAAGGAUUAAAACAUGAAUAAUUCAAGCUUUGAGAAUAAAAUGAUAACACCAAUCAUCAAUCAAAAACUGAAUAUUAUAGAUAAAUAUCACCUCAAUACAUAAAAGUUUGAACAAAUUACUCUCAAUCCCAAAGGAAAGAAUUAGUCACUCAUGUUGGCCAUUACAAGUAUGGAAAGCAAGAAAAGAAGAUCCAGGAUGUUUCUCCUUAACGAUCAUUUCCUCUAAGGUUUUCUAUCUCUCUCUAUUCUCCCAAUAAUGUUUAGGCUUAUGCCCCAUGCCUUCUAUUUAACCUAAUUGGGUUUGAGCUAAGUGAUAUCUCGCUUAAGCGAGUUAUUACUUGCUUAAUCGAGUUUGAUGAGAAAAAACCCAACUUCACUGGAGUGAACUCGCUUGGGUAAGUUCCUUUGGAGUGAUCUUGCUUAGGCGAGUUUGGGCGAGUUUUGGACGAGAUUCCAAUGUUCCAACUUUGUCUUUUUAUCUUAUUCAUUCUCCUUUAGCCUUUUCAUCUUCAUUUUCCCAUAGAAUCCUAAAAUUAACACAAAUUUGGAAAUAAGUUGUUCACAUUCAUCUUACAAUUUAAAAUAUGUAAAAAGGUUUAAAUUCCUAAAUUAGGGGUUGAAUUAUAGCUAUUUUAUCAAUAAAAAUCCAUAAGUGCCUAUCUUUUAAUAUGAAAUAAUAUUGAAUUACGACACUUAUCAAUAAACAACUUUCUUAAGAGGAUUAAUGGAAACACUCAUAUGCAUAUCUAAGAUCUUUUCUACUUCCAAUUUGAUAGCUUCUAUUUCAUCCAUGUGAAGAGGGAAUGACUUUGUAGCCGUUUUAUGCCAAUCCAAAAGGAAGAUUAUAUUUCCCUUUAAUAAAUCCCCCGUUAAGCAUUUAUGUGAAACAAUAGCUUAAACAUCGUGCUCCAAAAAAGGCUUGGUCUCAGCAAACGAUGUCUGAUGAAAAUUAUAACGACUAGUGACACCAUGUGGAAUGCGUUGAACAAAUUCUCAGAAGGCAAAAUCAGGCUCCUAAAGAAACAUGGUGGUGAAGUCAUUAAUGAAUAUGUGUUGAGAGCAAGUAAACAAACAAAUGAUAUCAAGAUGCAUAUUGAACUCUAUGUCCUUAAACCUCUUUAGAGUAGGAGGAAUGAAAAGAUAUGAUCCUUGACAAAUGGCUAAAUCAUAAUGUUGCCAUUGUUUAUCAGGUUGUCUAAAGAAGGACAUAAUCCAUCAGUCAAUGGUGAUAAAGACCUUAGUGUUUGAUCCAUGGGCCAUAGUCACAAAGAAUCGGCUAGCUUGACUAUUUUAGCUAACUUGUAUGUGACUAGGUGAGGUUUGGUUAGACUCGUAAGUCUAGAAUGGUUAGGGGGAUAUAUUGGUUGUUGCCAUGUUAGAGGGUUCUAGCAUGACAAUAACAUCGUUUGGUAUGCUAAGGUUUGUAGGUGAAGGUUGGAAGGUUGAGGAUGGUUGAAAAGGCCAUGUGUUGGAUUUUGGGGUGAAAAUAUUGAAAGUUUAUGGAAGGUGGGGCGGUAGGUGAUUCUAGUGAGGAUAUUAUCAAGUCAAAGUGAUGGAUGACCAUCCUUGCUAAAGUCACCAUUCUUCUAAGCUAAAAGCUGAGGUUCAACUUGGAAGAAUUCAGAAAUAAUAUGUCUUAUUUUUACAUAAAAUGUAAAUAGUUGAAUAGCAUUUUCUGGCUUUGUAUUUCUUAGCCAACUUUAGAAUAAGAAUAUAUUUCUCUCCAAACAAGACUACCUUGGACGCCUCUUUCUUUACAUGUUGACUCUUUAAGCUCCUUAAGAAGCUAGGCGCCUCCUUCCACGACUCUCCAAAUCACUCAAAGACACUUGACAAACUAUGAAUAGAGAGCUUCUUGUAAAUAGGAUUGCCACAUGGCAAGCUAGGAAUAGAGAGUUUUCUAUACAUAUAAUUGCCACAUGACAUGUUAGGAGUGGAAAUUAUUUUGAGAACCAAUUAUCCUUUUUAGGAGUCUCUAUUAUAAAUAAAAUACUUAUCUCUUGUAAUUUUUAGACUUGAUUGAUAUAUGAAAUUGUGGUUCUAAAAUUCUCAGCACACUUAUCCAAGUCUCUCUUCUAUGAUGCUUCUUGCAUUCUUAGAAACUCAAGGAAGUUGGCUUAACUUCUUCCUUGGUCCUUGCCCUUUGUAAAACUCAUACCCAAACCAAGAACUUCCACGAUCUUUCGGUGCUUCCUCCACAAAUCUACAAGUCUUUCGUUACCUUCCAUCAACCCCCAUGAAACAUUCAAGAAAAAUUGCAUCAGAAAGGGCUUCAUAACCUUAGACCUGAUGGGUGUAGGAUAAGGUAAAGUGUUUGGGGGUUGAGCUAGUUGUUCAAAUGUAAUAGAGUUUGAACAAUUAAGGUUAAAGUCCUAUUAGGUUGAGGUAUACAAUAUCAGUAUAGGUGACUAUGAUUGUUGAUGUGAUGUUGAAGGUUGGGUUUAAAUGGGGGGUGAGUUUUUAUUUGUGGACGAUUUAGGAGAAUUAGGAGGUAGGACAUCUAGGUAAGGAAUAAUGUGAAUAUCAAAAUAUAACUUGGUAAGGAACUUGCAAGACCACGUUCCAAACCCUCAAAUCUAUUCGAAUAAUCGAACGAUUUCAACAUUUGAUAUAUAUGAUAUGAACGUCUAUUUUAGCUAAACGAUAUUUGUUCGUCAUUAAGUAAUUCUAGAGGCAAAUUAAAAAAUAACAAAAAAUAAAAAUAAAAUAUUUGAUUGAUUGAAAAAAUGUGAAAAACUACUUGAGGAAUAACUAAUAAGAAACUUAAAGAGUCCUUCAAAAGGCAUUUAUAUGAACAGAUCAAACACAAAUUUGAAUCUAAUUAAUGUGUGCCUCCUAACUAAGUCGCUUGAGAAAUUGGGUGUUUUCAUGGAACUACUCAAAGAGGCACGUUCAAGAAGUGAUUUUGCAAAUAGAGAAAAUAAAUUUUGGUUUAGAAUCUAAGGUUUCAAAUACUGAUAAAGAUGCAUGAACUUCAUAUACAACAUUCAAAAAUAGGUAACACACCUUUAAGUGAUCUCAAAUUGGAUGUAAGCUUGGCAUGCAUUAGGUGGUUGAGGUGCCUCUAUACCAUGUCAAAAAGGACACAUACUCACAUUAUCACAAUCAUGACUUGUCAACGUCCAUAGAAAGACGUGCUAACUAUAGGUAACCUUAGAUGAAAUAUGAAUCUAGCAUGCAUUGGGUGAUUGGAGAAUCAUUGCAUGCAUAACAGUGACACAUGCACUCCACCAAAAAGCCUUGACUUGUCAACGUCACUACAAGAGCGUGCUAACCAUAAAUAACCUUGCAUGGGAUGCAAGUUUGACUUACACUCGCACAACCUUGAGUGCUUAAUGUUGAAAUAGUUAUGGUCCAACCCAUGUUACAAUCCUAUAAGAAUGACAAUCCAACACCACUAGUUCAUUUAUCAAUUAUUUCACAACAUAAUCUCGCGCACAACCUUGAGUAGUCAAAGUCAAAAUAGUUAUGGUCUAACCAAUGUUACAACCCUAAAAGAAUGACAAUUAACACUAAUAGUUCAUUUAUCAAUUAUUUCACAACAUAAUAGCAGUACUAUAAUACAAAUACCACAAAAAAGUCAUGAAAAUCAACUACCAAAUUCCAAUUCAAAGUUCUUAAUAAAAGAAAGUGUAAGACUCCAUACAAAUGAAAAUUAACAUUGACAAAUGAUCAAAUGUUAGAAAAUGACUCAACUUCAUCCAUGCUUAUAAUAUCAUAAUAUUGUUGUUGUUGCUCUGACCUCAAGUCAUUGAGAUAAUAUUACUAAGGUCAAUCAUUGCAUUUGAGAUAUUUUUUGCUUUGGAGUUUGGAGUUUUGUCAUUGUAUUGUCCUUAAAAGGUGUUUCGGUUGACGAGUCCUUGUCCCUCAAGGAAAAAGUGGUUCCAAAUAUGAACCCUCGUUCCUUGAGCCCUCGGUUGGGGGGAAUUCGUUCCCUUUAGACCUCGAUUGGAGGGAAUCCGUUCCCCUUAAACCUCGACUGGGAGACUUGUUCCGGUACACCCAAUAGUUUCACAUUGUUCGAUUUAUAAGAUUUCAAAACUUAGUAAAAAGUCUCUUUGAUACAUUUAGUCAAUUGUUUUAAGUUGUUAAUUGACUAUUCUAAAAAAAAAAUUAAUAAAAAUACACUAUUUUAAUUAAUUAUAUUCUCAAUUAAUUGAUUAUUCUAUUCUUCGAUAUUUUUUAGAAUAAAUUUGAAUAUUUAAUUAUUUACUUAAAUGUGUUAAUCAAUUAUUCUCAUAGAUCAGCUAAAAACACAUUUGUAUGUUCUUUAUUUUAAUCCAUUAUCAAAAUUGAUAACCGAUUAUCCAGUUCAAAAAAUAUAUUAAGAACAAAUUAAUCAAUUACAUAAAACCUUAAUCCAUUAAAACACAUUUAAAACCUUUUACAAACAUUUUAGGGACCAUAUAUUACUACUUCAACCUAAUCGAUUAAUUCAUUUGAAAAACACUUUGAAAUUAUUUUAAACCAUUUCAAUUAUAUUUUAUAACAUUUCUAAUAAGGCUAUGAUUUGAGUGAUUAGUUACCAUGAUAUUGUGAUUACCUUAUGUGUAAGACUCACAAACGCACACUCAUGCAAAAAAAAGCUAUGAACACACAAUACAUCUUUAUCAACAACAUCAUCCUAAAAAUCGACAACUAUAUCAUCUUCAAGAUGUAUGGCUUACCCCUAUUUUCAAGUCCAAUAAUUGGGUCAUUAGAGUCUUGAGGGAUUAAAAUAUCGUUUCAUUUGAUUAUUGAAUUCCAAUUAAAUGUGACACUCACACAUAAUCGUAUCAAUUUACAAAUAUAUACCUUUUGUGAAAAGAUUUUCAAAAGGGGUUGGCUGUGGAGUUGACACGAGGGUUGUUUAUAUCUAUUAUAUUUUCCAUGUAAGAAAUUAGUUUUUAGGUUCAAUGAAAUACCAAAUUCAUUUGGUUUCAUGUUUAACCCUAUAGAGUAGCACACCCAUUCUUAAUAGCAAAAUAAACACAAAAUCAUGUUAAGUUAAAUUAGAAGACAACUUAACACCACUAACAAAGCUAUUAAUUAAGGUGAUAGAAUGUUGGUUGAAAAUAAUAGAAAAAAAAUAACCCCUUAAACAUUUCAAGCUUUAAAGUGAUGACUAAAAUUAAUAAAAAAAAAAAAAUUAAGAUAACCAAGUAUUCUUUUUCAAAUAAUCAUUCCUGGCUAAGAAAAAAUAAAUUAUUAGUUUAGUGAUUCACAAAUGACAGGAUUGUUCAAUAAAGAGGAAUAAUGUCUUUUGUUGCAUACAAAGUUUAUGCAAUUUCUUAUAGUUUGUUAAGUGAACACGAACAAUGUUCUCUUUGAAGCUUCUAAGGAAGCAGUUCUAAAGAUUAGUGCAGUCAAUGUAAAUCCAUUUCUGGCUGUUGAACAAAUUUAGCUCACUUGAAUGUCUUUGUUAUAUUUGGUGAACUUAAUUGUGAAUGAUGCAUUAAUGUGCUUUCUGCAACAUUAAUUUCUUUUUUUUUUUAAUUUUUUACUUAACAUCCCAAUAUCCAAUAGCUUGAUGUAUGAUGAAAGUCUUCUCACAUUAAGUUUCUCAAAUAAAACUAAGUUCCUCAUUCAAAUUUAAUAUAGAGAUAAACCUAUAUCGAUAAGACAUGCUAAUUCACUCUAUUAUUUGAUAAUCUUUCUUCUGCAAAUUAAAAAUGGGGUUUUGAAUGAGUUUUAAAAUUGAAAAUCGAAUAGAAACAUUAAUAAAAAUGAAACACAAAACAAAAUAAUCAAAUAAACAAUACAUUGUUUAUGAACAAUUAAACUAUAAAAAUUGAAAUUAAAUGAGAUUAUGUAAAAUAAUUAAUCCUUUAUAUAGUAAUUAAUCUUGUGAGAACAAGUUCGGAUUUAAUCCUAUAAAAUGGACUGGUAAAAUAAGUAUUAAUUUAUAUUUAUAUAUUAUAAUUUAAAUACAUUCUUUAGACAAAAAGAUCUUAAAUAUAAUUUUUAACUCAAAAUUAUACAUCUUAAAAAUAUAAAACUAUAUAUUUAUGAAUAAUUUGAUGAAGGUUAACUUUUAUAAACUUGUACUAUUUAUUGAUCUUCUUUCUUUUAUUAAGAGUGAUGGUAGUCCGUUGGUUAAAUUGAUUAAGCUAGUUGUGAUAAUCUUUUCCUAUUUGGAUGAUAUGGCGUAUGAAGAAUUAUGCUCGUUUUCAGGAUAAGAUUGAGGUUUCUAGGGCUAUUUUGGUUAUUAAAGAUUUAAUUUGUCUAAAGCUUCAAUGAAGAAUGAUAUGUUCGAUUUCAAUGUGCUCAAGGUUUUUGGUAUUAACACUCGUACUGGUAAAGUUCUACGUCCUCUUCCUGUUAGAUGAGAGUUUCCUUCACCAGGUUGUGGGUUAAAUUAACAUUGAUGGGGCUCUAGGGGUUAUCUAGGUCUUGCCGCUUGUGGAAGUAUUUUUCGUGGGAGUAUGGGGGAGUUUAUUGGAGCUUUCUCUGCAUUUCUUGACGUUCGAACUGCUUUGGUUACUGGAUUUUAUGGAGUUAUAUAUGCUUUGGAGGAAACUCAAAAGUUGGGUCUUACUAAUAUUUGGCUGGAAUGUGACUCUGCCUUGAUUUGUGUUGCGUUUACUACUAGGACAAAUAUUCCUUGGAUGCUUCGUAAUCGGUGAAAUACUUGUCUGAAAAAAUCAGGUUUAGGGUUACUCAUAUUUUUCAUGAAGGGAAUGCGUGUGCUAAUAAGUUGGCUAAUUUAUGAUUUAUUCAUAGAGAAUCCUUUCAUUGGUAUAAUAGACUUCCAUCUAGUCUGUUCUUAGAAUUAUUUAUUAAUAGGUAUAGUCUAUCUAUGCAUCAUUUUUGUUAACAUAAGAGUUUUGGUCUAGUCCCCCCAUAUUUUUGUAUUUUUUUUUAAUAAUAUUUUUUUCAUAUGAUGGUAAAUGAUUGUUGUUACUUGAGGUGUCACUGAGAUGUCAAGUAGAAUAGUGAUUCCUAACAUGAAAGUUUUUUAUAAAAAAAAAACAAAAAAACUUAUACUAUUUAUUAGAAUAAAUUAUAUUCUCAUCUUCAAAUAAAUAUACAUAUUUUCAUCAUAAAAAUAGUUUGUUUAUCACAAAAUAAUUUUGUGCUUAGUGAAAAUUUAGGAUUGCGCUUUCAUGAAUUAACAAUGCUUUUGUCGGGCAACCUUAAGUAUUAUUACUUGUUAGAUUUUAUAUGUUUUAACAAUAAUAGCAUAUAAUAAGUAGUUGUUUCUAUUUAAUUAUUUCUGCAAAGUUUUGCAGUGAUUCAUUUUGUAGUUUAUUUGUUGUUUAGGUAUUUUGAAAGUGUGGAUAAUUUAAGAAAAUGGUGAGGGUGAUGCAUGUUGAGUUGGUUUAGAGACUUUGUUAGCUGGAUUCACUGCCCCUUCCAAUUAUAUGUAAUUUAUGAACAUCCAUAAUUUUUAAAUGGACUAACUAAUCUCGUUAUUUUAUUCUCCCUUGUUGGCCAUGUGUUUUUGUCAUGAUUGAGAACUUGAAAAAUACAUUUUUAAUUGUUCACAAAACUUCCAUUGGAAGAGAAUUGAAAUCAUAGCUUUAGAUGCAUUUUGCACCUAUGAUUGGGCGUUACAUGAUUGCUUCAAAUUCAUGGUUGAUUAAUAGGGAGUUACAAUGCAAAAGUUUCACAAAACUUCAUUUCCCUUAGACAUGAAGAAUUCUUUCAAGGUUGAUCGAGACUUCCUUAAGCUAUUUAGGGCCCCAUAGAGCAUAAUCUUAUAUAAAAAAUCAAUUUAAUUUUUUUUUUCAAAUACAUUCUUAGUAAAUUUUUUAUUACAUUUAUAAAAAGUUGUGAAAUGAUUAAAAAAUUGUAAAAAUUACCAUGUCUGAAUAAAUGACAACUAGUUUAUCUAUUGUCGACCAUUCCACAAAAUGUGAAAUCCGGAGUAUAUUUAAUUAUGAUUAUAUUUCAUGAGGAUCCAGGUAUUUUAAAUAAUCUUCCAUUUGUAGAUUAAACUUGAAAAUUGUAGACUAUUCCAAAUCUUUUAACAAUAUGCUAAUCUUCCAAAUUUAACAACAUCAUGUGAUAUAUUAUUAUAUAAAAGUACACAUAAAAAUUAAUUUUGACUAUUUUCCAAAUAAAUUUUUUAAUAUUUAUUAUCAACUGUUAAGAUUUAUGACAUUAAUUAGUUUUUAAUUAUUUCAAUUUUAAUUGAACUAUGAACUCUUUUAAGGUUUGUUGACUAAAUAUGCCAAUAAAAACAUUGAUCUAAUGAGAUUAACAUAGAUGAACUUCGUAAUGUGUAAGAAAGACUAAAUUGAAAGGCAGGUAUUCCUUUCAGCCUUUCCACAUACACUUGCAUUGGGGUUACUGAGGCUCUCUUCUCAUAGUCCUAUGGAAGAAAUAAAUACCAGAAGAAAAGGCUAGCUGCUAUAUGCAUCUCUCUGGAGAAAAGGCUAACUGAAUCUUCAAGAGUUGUUGCCACUCUAACCAACGACCCUUUCAAUCAUCAAAAAAUAAUUAUUAGUUCAAGAGGUAUUUCUAGCAAUGUUCAAAAUCAUUUGCAUUUCUUCUUUGAAUAUUCAUAUAUAUUAGGUAAAUGCAAUGCAAAUUUAAGAAAUAAGAAAAUGUAAUCUUUGAUAAUUUGUAAUGGGCAAAGGAUAUGCAAAAAAAAUGUCGGAAUCUUAGAUGAGAAACGAACAGGGAUACAAAAAACUGUUCAUUUCCUUCAAAGGACCCGGUGGGUGGAAACCCUUUGGCUCUUAGCCUCCUUGCGAACCGAAAGACACACAGUUUGAGUUCCUUCAGCUUUCUGAUGGAGGCUUUAUACAUAUAAAUCAUAAAAAAUGUUAAUAUCGAAAUAUAAGGAGGGAAGGAACAUGCGAGACAGCGGUUCAUACCCUCAAAUCUAUUCGAAUAAUCGAACCAUUUCAACAUUUUAUAUAUUUUAUAUGUGCCUCUGUCUGGACCAUACGACACUUGUUCAUCGUUUGGAUAUUCUGAAGGCAGAUUCAAAACAAUAACAAAAAAGUCAAAAUAAAAUAAUUGAUUUAUUGAAAAAAAAUGUGAAAAGCUGCUUGAGGAACAAUUGAUAAGAAAGACAAAGAGUCCCUUCAAAAGGCCUUUCUCUGAAGGGAUCCAAACGCGAAUUCGGAUCCGAUUACUGUGCGCCUCCUAACUAAGCCGCGUAUGAAAGUUGGAGUUUUCAUAAGGCUACUCAAAGAGGCAGGUUCAGGAAGUGAUCUUGCAAAUGGAUAAAAUGAUAUGUUGUUUGUUUAGAGUGCUUUCGAAGGUUGAUGAAUUUGGAAUCGUGCGCAGAAAAUAAAUGAAGAAUAUGAGUUACAGUAAACGAAACAGAGAGUUAAAGUGACACAACGAUGUCAAAUUGUGUUGUGAAGGAUCUCAUUAUCAAUAAAACCAAAAAAAUUCAACACAUAGAAACCUCACCUUUGCCUUCUUUGCUUGCUUUACAACCCCAACAGCAUCAAUUUUCAACACCUUAGGUUACUCAGCACCCUGCAGGAGCUCCCUAGCAAAGGGAAAUAGUAACGUUAGCUCAAUCCCCAGUCUCCUCUUGUUGAGACUUCCCAGCCAAAACCAAAAGCUUAGCAGCAGGAUGCUGAACUUCAAGUUCGUUCACAAGUGUCGCUGAGUCAUUCGUGACAAAAUAGGUUGUCUAAGUGAUUUAUAACCAUCUUAUCCAUACCUAAAGCAGAUCAAACAAACGAUUACAAACAAUCUAAAACUAUCCAGACAAACCCUUCCUUCUGUAAACACCAAUCACCAACAGAUUCAUACACGAACUUUCCCAGAACCCAAAAUGAAAAAUUCCCUUAAUAAAGAUAAAAAAAAACUACUCAUUAUUUUAUCACUCCUCAAACUUCCAAGCACAUUACAUUUACUCUUAGUACUGCAUAAGGAAUAAACGAUAGAUCAACAAACAUGAAAACGUACACAUACCCACAUACCAUUGGGGCCAAGGGAAGUUCGAGUGAUAGUGGAAAGUUGUUUGCAGGCGUCGAUGUUCUUGAGAACGGCCUCAUCGAGACCAGAAAGGUGUUUGUGGCCUUCCUUGAGCAUGGAUUGAAUCCCAUAGGGUUGAAUGUUGAAACCCAUGUUCUUGCAAUUUGAGAAUACCCUAACCCUAAAACCCUGCAAAUGCUAACUUCUCUCUUCAACUAUCAAACUUUUGCGGCUACACUGCC